GGCUAUGUCGGUGCAAGCGGCGUCGGUAAAAACGGGGGUGGAAGGGUUCAAGGGAAUGUCGGGGCGUAAAGCGUACUUAGGUGGGUGGGUAAGUUUGAGGGGAAAGACCCGGGCUUAACUUGGGAAUUGCAUGCAAGACUGCCUUGCUAGAGUGUGGAAGAGGGAAGCGGAAUUCCAGGUGUAGCGGUGAAAUGCGUAGAUAUCUGGAGGAACAUCAGUGGCGAAGGCGGCUUCCUGGUCCAACACUGACACUGAGGUGCGAAAGCGUGGGGAGCAAACAGGAUUAGAUACCCGGUAGUC
rnacentral:rRNA from 1 species